ACGGAGGGUGCAAGCGUUAAUCGGAAUUACUGGGCGUAAAGCGCACGCAGGCGGUUUUUUAAGUGAGAGGUGAAAGCCCCGGGCUCAACCUUGGAAAUGCUUGGGAACUGGAAGACUUGAGUGCAGGAGAGGGGAGUGGAAUUCCCAGUGUAGCGGUGAAAUGCGUAGAGAUCAGGAGGAAUACCGGUGGCGAAGGCGGCUUCCUGGACGGUAACUGACGCUGAGGUGCGAAAGCGUGGGGAGCAAACAG
rnacentral:rRNA from 1 species